rnacentral:rRNA from 1 species
GAUGAACGCUAGCGGCAGGCUUAACACAUGCAAGUCGAGGGGUAACAUUGUGCUUGCACAGAUGACGACCGGCGCACGGGUGCGUAACGCGUAUAGAAUUUGCCCUUCAGACUGGGACAACUAAUCGAAAGGUUAGCUAAUACCGGAUAUUAUGAGACCUUGGCAUCAAGGACUUAUGAAAGCUAUAUGCGCUGGAGGAGAACUUUGCGUUCCAUUAGCUAGUUGGUAGGGUAAUGGCCUACCAAGGCAACGAUGGAUAGCCGGCCUGAGAGGGUGAACGGCCACAAGGGGACUGAGACACGGCCCUU